GGUGAUUUAGCUCAGCGGUAGAGCGCUUGCCUAUGAAGCGCAAGGCCCUGGGUUCAGUUACCA
rnacentral:tRNA from 1 species